rnacentral:rRNA from 1 species
UACGUAGGGUGCGAGCGUUAAUCGGAAUUACUGGGCGUAAAGCGUGCGCAGGCGGUUCGCCAAGUCAGGUGUGAAAUCCCCGGGCUUAACCUGGGAAUUGCGCUUGAAACUAGCGGGCUUGAGUGUGGCAGAGGGGGGUGGAAUUCCACGUGUAGCAGUGAAAUGCGUAGAGAUGUGGAGGAACACCGGUGGCGAAGGCGGGUCUCUGGGCAGUAACUGACGCUGAGGAGCGAAAGCGUGGGGAGCGAACAGG